rnacentral:rRNA from 1 species
AGAACGAACGCUGGCGGCAUGCCUAAUACAUGCAAGUCGAACGAACACUUCGGUGUUAGUGGCGCACGGGUGCGUAACGCGUGGGAAUCUGCCCUUGGGUUCGGAAUAACAGUUGGAAACGACUGCUAAUACCGGAUGACAUCGAAAGAUCAAAGAUUUAUCGCCCAGGGAUGAGCCCGCGUAGGAUUAGCUAGUUGGUGAGGUAAAGGCUCACCAAGGCGACGAUCCUUAGCUGGUCUGAGAGGAUGAUCAGCCACACUGGGACUGAGACACGGCCCAGACUCCUACGGGAGCAGCAGUAGGGAAUAUUGGACAAUGGGCGCAAAGUCCUAGGAUCCGAAGCAAUGACCGCGUGAGUGAUGAAGGCCGUUAGGGUUCGUAAAGUCUACGUUUUACCCGAGAUGAUAAUAGACAGUAUCGGAAGAAUAACG